rnacentral:rRNA from 1 species
GACCACACGAAGCUGGAAUCGCUAGUAAUCGCGAAUCAGAAUGUCGCGGUGAAUACGUUCCCGGGUCUUGUACACACCGCCCGUCACACCAUGGGAGUCAGCAACGCCCGAAGUCAGUGACCUAACCGAAAGGGAGGAGCUGCCGAAGGCGGGGCCGGUAACUGGGGUGAAGUCGUAACAAGGUACC